rnacentral:rRNA from 1 species
GAUGAACGCUGGCGGCGUGCCUAAUACAUGCAAGUCGAGCGAACAGACGAGGAGCUUGCUCCUCUGACGUUAGCGGCGGACGGGUGAGUAACACGUGGAUAACCUACCUAUAAGACUGGGAUAACUUCGGGAAACCGGAGCUAAUACCGGAUAAUAUAUUGAACCGCAUGGUUCAAUAGUGAAAGACGGUUUUGCUGUCACUUAUAGAUGGAUCCGCGCCGCAUUAGCUAGUUGGUAAGGUAACGGCUUACCAAGGCAACGAUGCGUAGCCGACCGGAGAGGGUGAUAGGCCACACGGGAACUGAGACACGGUCCAGGCUCCUACGGGAGGCAGCAGUAGGGAAUCUUCCGCAAUGGGCGAGAGCCUGACGGAGCAACGCCGCGUGAGUGAUGAAGGUCUUCGGAGCGUAAAACUCUGUUAUUAGGGAAGAACAGAUGUGUAAGUAACUAUGCACGUCUUGACGGUACCUAAUCAGAAAGCAACGGCUAACUACGUG